GUUGAUCAUGGCUCAGAACGAACGCUGGCGGCGCGCUUAAGCAUGCAAGUCGAACGGCAAGAGGUAGCAAUACCUCCUAGAGUGGCGGACUGGUGAGUAACACGUGGGUGACAUACCCUUCAGAUGGGGAUAGCUAUUAGAAAUAGUAGAUAAUACCGAAUACGAGCACAGGGGUUAGAGAUCUGUGAGGAAAGGAGCUAAGGCUCCGCUGAAGGAAUGGCCUGCGGCCCAUUAGCUAGUUGGUGAGGUAAGAGCCCACCAAGGCGAUGAUGGGUAUCCGGCCUUAGAGGGUGAACGGACACAUUGGGACUGAGAUACGGCCCAGACUCCUACGGGAGGCAGCAGCUAAGAAUAUUCCGCAAUGGACGAAAGUCUGACGGAGCGACGCCGCGUGGAUGAAGAAGGCCGGAAGGUUGUAAAAUCCUUUUGAAACUGAAGGAUAAGCGUUGUAGGGAAUGACAGCGUGGUGACAGUAGGUUUUGAAUAAGCAACGGCUAAUUACGUGCCAGCAGCGGC
rnacentral:rRNA from 1 species